rnacentral:rRNA from 1 species
ACUCCUACGGGAGGCAGCAGUAGGGAAUCUUCCACAAUGGGCGAAAGCCUGAUGGAGCAAUGCCGCGUGAGUGAAGAAGGUUUUCGGAUCGUAAAACUCUGUUGUUGAAGAAGAACAUGCGUGAGAGUAACUGUUCACGUACUGACGGUAUUCAACCAGAAAGCCACGGCUAACUACGUGCCAGCAGCCGCGGUAAUACGUAGGUGGCAAGCGUUGUCCGGAUUUAUUGGGCGUAAAGAGAAUGUAGGCGGUUUUAUUAAGUUUGAAGUGAAAGCCCUCGGCUCAACCGAGGAAGUGCUUCGAAAACUGGUAAACUUGAGUGCAGAAGAGGAAAGUGGAACUCCAUGUGUAGCGGUGGAAUGCGUAGAUAUAUGGAAGAACACCAGUGGCGAAGGCGGCUUUCUGGUCUGUAACUGACGCUGAGAUUCGAAAGCAUGGUAGCAAACAGGAUUAGAUACCCUGGUAGGAUAGCG